CUACGGGGCGCAGCAGUGAGGAAUUUUGCGCAAUGGGGGAAACCCUGACGCAGCAACGCCGCGUGAGCGAAGAAGGCCCUCGGGUCGUAAAGCUCUGUCAAGUGGGAAAAAAAUUUUUUGAUCAAUAGUCAAAAGACUUGAUGGUACCACUGGAAGAAGCACCGGCUAACUCCGUGCCAGCAGCCGCGGUAAUACGGAGGGUGCGAGCGUUGUUCGGAUUUACUGGGCGUAAAGAGCGUGUAGGCGGUUUAGCAAGUCAGAUGUGAAAGCCCUGGGCUCAACCCGGGAAGUGCAUUUGAAACUGCUUCACUAGAGUAUGGGAGAGGAGAUUGGAAUUCCUGGUGUAGAGGUGAAAUUCGUAGAUAUCAGGAGGAACACCCGUGGCGAAGGCGAUUCUCUGGACCAAUACUGACGCUGAGACGCGAAAGCGUGGGGAGCAAACAGGAUUAGAUACCCCUGUAGUC
rnacentral:rRNA from 1 species